UACGUAGGGGGCAAGCGUUGUCCGGAUUUAUUGGGCGUAAAGAGCGUGUAGGCGGCCAGGUAGGUCUGCUGUGAAAACUCGAGGCUCAACCUCGAGAUGUCGGCGGAAACCAUCUGGCUAGAGUCCGGAAGAGGAGAAUGGAAUUCCCGGUGUAGCGGUGAAAUGCGCAGAUAUCGGGAAGAACACCAGUGGCGAAGGCGGUUCUCUGGGACGGUACUGACGCUGAGACGCGAAAGCGUGGGGAGCGAACAGG
rnacentral:rRNA from 1 species